UGGGGAAUAUUGCACAAUGGGCGAAAGCCUGAUGCAGCAACGCCGCGUGAGGGACGACGGCCUUCGGGUUGUAAACCUCUUUUAGCAAGGAAGAAGCGAAAGUGACGGUACUUGCAGAAAAAGCGCCGGCUAACUACGUGCCAGCAGCUGCGGUAAUACGUAGGGCGCAAGCGUUAUCCGGAAUUAUUGGGCGUAAAGAGCUCGUAGGCGGUUUGUCGCGUCUGCUGUGAAAACCCGAGGCUCAACCUCGGGCCUGCAGUGGGUACGGGCAGACUAGAGUGCGGUAGGGGAGAUUGGAACUCCUGGUGUAGCGGUGGAAUGCGCAGAUAUCAGGAAGAACACCGAUGGCGAAGGCAGAUCUCUGGGCCGUAACUGACGCUGAGGAGCGAAAGGGUGGGGAGCAAACAGGCUUGGAUGACCCUGGUAGUCCACCCCGUAAACGUUGGGAACUAGUUGUGGGGUCCAUUCCACGGAUUCCGUGACGCAGCUAACGCAUUAAGUUCCCCGCCUGGGGAGUACGGCCGCAAGGCUAAAACUGCAAAUGAAUUGACGGGGUCAUAGCUGUUUCCU
rnacentral:rRNA from 1 species